CCUACGGGAGGCAGCAGUGGGGAAUAUUGGACAAUGGGCGAAAGCCUGAUCCAGCAAUGCCGCGUGAGUGAUGAAGGCCUUAGGGUUGUAAAGCUCUUUUACCAGGGAUGAUAAUGACAGUACCUGGAGAAUAAGCUCCGGCUAACUCCGUGCCAGCAGCCGCGGUAAUACGGAGGGAGCUAGCGUUGUUCGGAAUUACUGGGCGUAAAGCGUACGUAGGCGGUUAUUCAAGUCAGAGGUGAAAGCCUGGAGCUCAACUCCAGAACUGCCUUUGAAACUAGAUAGCUAGAAUCUUGGAGAGGUGAGUGGAAUUCCGAGUGUAGAGGUGAAAUUCGUAGAUAUUCGGAAGAACACCAGUGGCGAAGGCGACUCACUGGACAAGUAUUGACGCUGAGGUACGAAAGCGUGGGGAGCAAACAGGAUUAGAUACCCUGGUAGUCCACGCCGUAAACGAUGAUAACUAGCUGUUCGGGCUCUACGAGCUUGAGUGGCGCAGCUAACGCAUUAAGUUAUCCGCCUGGGGAGUACGGUCGCAAGAUUAAAACUUAAAUGAAUUGACGG
rnacentral:rRNA from 1 species